GAAAGGUUACAGGGUCACUAAGAUCCCAAAGCGUCCCGAUCGUUUUAUGCUGAUGUUUACCCGACUUUUUAGCCCUUGUCCGGUCUACCUCCAUUUUAAGCUCCCGGUAUUCCACCAGAGUCUUCGGUAUUAAGUUUGUUUUCUUGUUUGUGUUGGCAGUCGUGGCCAAAGGAGGAUUCAGACAAUUGUCCGAACUUUCUGGUUGGUUUCUACUGUCCAAUAUUGUAGCAUGCUAACUUUGUUUGGGCUCGUAAACGGGGAGCAGCGUCUGCCUCACAACCAAUCAAGGUUGGGGGAGGCGGAGAACGGCUUUACAGUCAUAAAGAGUGGAGCGCUCAAAAAAUGUAAAAUAUUGACUACACAGACAUAACAAAACACAGCAAUAUAGAAUAGAAUAGAAUAGAAUAGUCCUUUAUUGAUCCCCCAUGGGGGAAAUUUUUUUGUAUAUCGUUAUAUUACCAACUGUCAUCAAUAACUAAUAGCUAUUGACUGAUAUUAAAAGCUUUUUUGUAUAUACACCACAAAAAAGAUGCUUCUUUAACGGAUUCCUGCCUCCUCCACCUUUAACUGGACUACUGUCCUUGUCCCAGUUUACAAGCAUGUCUCCCUCUACAGUGGUUGGGUGGCGACAUGCACUCUUUCAGUUUGUCACGAUUUGGUCGUCUCCCAGUUGACCUGUAAAAUAUCAAAACAAUCAGCAUAUUGUGUUAGCAAGAGGCUAACGGGAUAUAUGUCAAACCAUGAGAACACAGCACUUUUACAGCUCUGUACCUUUUGUUCGUAUGACAGGGCGGUUGUGUCUGUUUGUACAUCAUUUCCUCACCAGUUGAGGUUUGGUUUACCACCCAGCUUAUACAGACCUGAACUUCAAUGAACCCAUGACUGUGUGAGAAGUUUGAUUCUGUGAAUUUUCAGUUGGACUUACGUGUGUAAAUGUUUUUUCAAGUCCAGUUUCAGUCAGACUAAAGGGAUCAAUUGAUAUUUUUGAACAAGGUGUAAAUAUACUGUGUGUUGAGGAUUCAAAAGCAGCACUAUCCACAGCUGGAGUUAUCUUUGCGUUAAAAAUAGUGAUUCAAACUUUUAAGUGAUGAACUCAUACAUAUGUAUCUUUACUCACUAAAUUGUAGCCUUUCUUACCUGGAGGUGUGCACGAUCUGCACAUUUUAAAAUGGAAAGAUGGGAAAGCAAAAGGUAUCAGUCGUAUUAUCAGUAUCAGCCAGGAGCAGGUUAUUAUCGGUUAUCAGUGCCAGCUUAAAAAAUCCAUAUUGUGCAUCACUAAUUAUGAGACUCACGCUAAAGUUACUUCAGGUGAACAGAGAUAAAGAUCCUUCCUGACUCCGCUCUACCGAAAAACUUUCAGCAAGGACACAUCCUGACUCCUCUCUCUCUCUCUCUCUCUCUCUCUCUCUGCUCAGCUUACUCACCAUCAGAGGAGCAUCUAUUAAGAGUUCAUGAACGCCCCAUUAGUCUAGUCAGAUAUGCAGCCCUCUAAAGUUUUACAGUCACAGAUUUCCCUUAACAUCACCUAAUUAAUCUCAGCCACAUAAUUAAUUUGCCUCCUCGCCCCACAUGCAGUCUGAGCGCUAAACCAGGGCUACAACCAGGAUUAAUGGCCUUGCCCUCCUCCCGGCGCCUCCUCCCCCCCUCCCCCUCCACCUCAGCUGUUUCUCUGGAACUUUUUGGAUAAACUUGGAGCCAGUCUGACACCCCCACCCCUCUCCCUUUUCUCACUAACUCUCUCUCUCUCUCUACCCUCGCUGCCAACCAGCUCUGGUCAUUCCUGAAGAGCCCCGUUUUCCUUCAAAUCCCAGUCAGCCAAUCUGGAGGUUUUUCAAAGGAUGAUGUGAUCCGAUGGAGCACAGCCCUCUUCUGCAGUCACCAGGGCUGCAGCUCGCUUUAAUUGGAAUAGAUUGUUUGUCCGCUCAAUGUGUGAAGCCCGGCAGAAAUAACACAAGCACCCACCCUCUCUCUCUUUUUUUGUUUCCAUUUAAACACAGACGUAAGAAGCCUGCACACACACACACACACACACACACACACAAAAUACACUAUUUGUUAGGCCAGCCUGAGUUCAUGUCAUUCCUUUAGCGACUGAAUUUCCUUGAGACUGUUACUGGCACUUGAUAUCUUAAAAUCUUGUUUUUUCAGGUUUUUCCAGAUUGUCAAAAAUUAUCAAAACCCAAAUUGAUGUAGGGAUUAAGAACAUAAAUUAUUUUAAGGUUCAUAUUUGUUGAGAAUUUUCAGAGAUUUACAAUCACAACAGCCAUUAAACCUUAAAAAAACACCUCCACUUAAGAAAAACAAGCCAUGUAGAGUAUACAAAGUACCCACACUCUACAAAUAAGUAAAAUGUAACAAUAUAACUUAAAUAAAACAAACAAACUGAGAUUCUUUUUGUUGCUUUUUCGUGAUAUCCAAAAGCAAACAAGACCAUCAGUGACAAGAUUUACAACUUUUAUCCUGUAGUUUUUAAUAAAUCAAUCAGUCUUUAUUUAUAUAGCACUUUUCAUACACAGUCAUGUAGGACAAAGUGCUUUACACAGAAAAAGGAAUAAAAGAAACAAAGAAUACCCAAAUCUACCCCAGCCCAUCCCCUCAUUUCCACCCUAAUGAUCUAAAUGCAACAGAAACAGUAUUAAAAUGCGUAAACUUAAAUAGGACUUGAUUCCGUGGAAACAGGAAUGUGCGCAAUGAGGAAAAGUUAUUUUAAAACUUUAAGAGGUUCAGGUUAAAAUCUAAAAACAAAGUAACACAGAAUGAAAUUUUAAGAAAUAAUAAAUAAAAUGAAAUAAAAACAACAGUAAAAGAUACUAAAAUAAGAGCACCAACAUAGCUCAAUAAAAGAUGAUCCUGUCAUUAAAACCAGAGGAGAUAAAUGCUAAAACACUAAAACAAAAUUAGUGAUAUAAAAUUUAGUUAAAAGCAAAACUAAAAAGGUACGUUUUGAAACUGUGUUGAGAGGCUAGGUGUCAGCCGAGUAGCAAAAUAUUAAUAAGUAAUGAUCAAAAGUCAGUAGGAAGAAAUGUUAGUCAGAGGACACCACUUCGAUCUGUAGAUGAUAAAUUUAGAAAAGACUGCGAUGUCCACAGGGUGAAGAAAUCAGUUUAAGGCGGUCUCACUAUGGGCUGAUGUUUUCUUCAUUCUGCUAAGUGUCGCUGUUCCAGGUUCACACCGGUGUUGUGAUGAAUAAUGCUUACCAUUAAGACGUGUAUUAAGAUCUAGUCCUCCUGAAAUCUUAAUGAAGGAUUUUGUACGAGUACAAAAACAUGUUCCUCUUCCUCUGAAAGAGCAAAUGGAGAGGGUAGUGUUGUGAGAUUCAGUGGUUCUGGACUGGAGGCGUUAUUUAAGGGGAUAUUUGUAUAAGUAGAUACACUUCUAAACCAAGUAUUGCUCCAGAAAUAUUUGUAUUUAUAUUUCUCUUCAAUCCUUGUUAAAAGUAUAAAUCAUUUGCUUGUGUUUGGCAUGAAAAGAGGGAUGAAAUGUCAUGUCCAGACAUACAUUUUCAUCCAGAUAGCUGGAUGAGCUUUGCCAUUUUGCUGACAGACCCUCAUCGAUUUCCAGAGAUCAGAGUGAAAUUAUUUUCAUGAAAACCAAAUGAGUCUAAACCGAGGCUCUUAUUAGCAAAUCUUCAUUUGCAGGCAGAAAAGAAGCAGAUAAAGAAAGUGUUAGACAUUCACCAUAUCUAUAUUUAUCUGUAGGAAUCAUCCCUCUGAAUUUGCCUGAAAGGAGUCUGUAAGGAGCAUCUUGUGUGAUUUAUGGCAGAACCUUUUCGACAAAGUGACUGACUCUCCAGGUGUCAUCCACAUUUAUAUAAAGAUAAGAGACAGAACAUAAUGGGCGCUUUGCUCUGCAUUUAUUCAGUAUCGACGUGCACUCCAACCUGAGAUAACGCUGCAUCUUGAUGACACUGCUAACCUUGAAUCCAGGUAAAUGGAAAAAGAUUCUUAGAAACCUGCAAGUCUUUUCUCCAGCCUUGGUAACCACAACACAGACAUUUAAUCCAAUAAUCCAUCACUAAAUCGAAGUGCGCAGGUUUCUGUCCUUUUAAUUUAACAUUAAAAGGUAGACUGACCAUGUUUAAGCUGGAUGUUGUUAGAUGGUUAGGUGCUAACACCUGAAGACCUUUUGAAUAAUGUUCCUGAAAAUGGUCACCCAUCUGUUCAGCACCAUUUCAACACUAAACUAGAGUCUCAGGGUAACACUUAACAUAAACUGCAGGCUCUACAAAAGGCAGCAGCACCGUUAAACAAGUAUCUCUCUGGACCAAAGUGUCCAGUUAUUUGACUCCCAAUUAAAAUAUAUUCCAGCGUAAAAAUAAGUUAGGGUCAAACACACCAUAACACCGAGUCAGACACCCCCUCGAGAGAUGAAUGUUUCCGACCACUUGCUACUCUAAAUACCACCUUUAGUAACCACCACAGAUAGCAAUACACAGGUGCUGUUCUGAGCUUUAUUUGUGUCUAUAGAGUGGCGUUUUGGUUGCGGUUUGUUUAUAGCUCCUCAAACCGCUAACUUCAUCAACAGUACAUAUAGGGUCCCAGCCGUAGCACUAGCCACCAAACAUCUUUUAGCUUUACCUAAUUUCUUCAGCAAAGAGACUAAACACAACUCACCUACUCUCUUCCAGCAGCCACUUGCUUGUACGGGGACCUCAGAUGAGACCGUCACGACUGCAGCGGGGUGACGCAGCUCAAGGAAGGACAUUUAUGAUCAUUUAAGGUAGUGAAAUCUAAAACCCUGGAUUUACCCAAAGAAAUCAUAGCUCUGAACUAACACACUUACAUAAAUAAUAAAGUAAUGGUCAUAAAUGUUCUUCCUUGAGCUGUGUCACCCCAAUGCAGUCGUGAUGGUCUCACCCAAGGUCUCAGUACAAGCAAGUGGCUGCUGGAAGAGAGUAGGUGAGUUGUGUUUAGUGUCUUUGCUAAAGAAAUCAGGCAAAGCUAAAAAGGUGUUUGGUGGCUAGUACUAUGGGUGGGACCCGAUAUGUACUGUUGAUGAAGUUAGGUGCUGUUCUGAGGAUUAUUUGUGGCUAUAGAGUGGCGCUUUGUUUGAUGUUUGUGUUUGGCUCCUCAGACUGCUGUGUAUUGCUAUCGUACGGUCUUUACUAAAGUUGGUAUAACUAGAGAAGCAAACGGUCGGCAAUAUUCAUCUCUCGGGGGGGUGUUUAACUCGGUGUUACAGUGUGUUUGACCCUAAAUUAAUUUUAUGCUGGAAUAUCCCUUUAAUGCUGGUGUUGAUGCUUUGUUUAUGGGGCUAUGCAGAGGUUAAGUCAGCCUUAGUCAAGCGACCAAAAUAACGACUAAACUAUCAUGACUUUUUCUUACAUAGAUUGGACUGAAAUUAUUAAAAUUUUAUUUUCUGAAACUGUGGAAUGCAAAAAAAGACUUGAAUAAAAAAAUAUUCUAAUAUUCGGGUUUUUAUUCUUGGAUUAAAUUUGAGGUCGGCGUGGCCUCUUAUUGAUGCAGGUUUGGAAUUAGUUACCGAGAAAUCCCACGUCCUUGUUCCAUUCUGCUGCUCUUUAGAAAUUAGAGGGAAGAACAUGCUUCACCAGGUUUUUCAGUAUUUCUAUUCAAAUGUAAAAUCAAAAAAAGAAAACUGGGGGGAAAAAUUGAAUCCUUGAGCCGUCAUGAAAAUGUGAAGGAUUUGGAGAUCUUUCACACUAAAGAGUAAGUGAUUUUGGGAGUGAAUGACAGCAUUGCACUGAAUAAAUUGAAUUGCUAGAUUUAAAUACCACAGCAUAUGACUCAAAGUUAUGUUUCGCUCUCUGGCAAUCACACCGACAAUCAAUUCACCUUCCUGCUUAUCAUGUCUGUGCGCAUUUUCAUUUUGCUGCUGCAUUUGAACAUGUAGUACGUAAUAUACUGGAUCGGAAAAAUGUGGUUUUACCUCUGAGUGAACUUUUUCCUCAAUCCUGUUUACCCUCUCAGAGCUGAUGGAACGUAAACAUGCAUUUGAUUAGUGUAAAGGUAAAGGAGGGAGGGUCCGAGCGGGGCCGUAUGAUGUAUGCGCACAUAUUUCCGUCAUUCCUUCAUUCCAGUCGGGGUCUACAUGUGCUGCUGCUGUGUGAGCUGGUCAUCGCUGGGCUCUGUUAUCACUCAUUUUCUGGCAUGGGCUCCUGGCAGGCGCACAAGCCUCCAUGGCCAAUGAUAACUCCCACUGCUAACAGACACCUCUGCAUGGGUGAAGCAUGACUGUGCUCACAGAUAGCCCUCACUCCCUCUGAGAGCGAGCGUAUGUAUGCAAACCUGUGUGUGUGCAUGCCAGGUUCAGGACUUCUAUGGGUUUGGGUAAAUUUGCGUGCUUAUGUGCAACGACUGGAAGUGCACAUGCAACCCUGUGUAUGCUCUGGAUUAUGUAUGUGUUUAGUUCCUUCUACAGGGAGUGUGGAACCAUAUGGAUUUUGCUAUUGAGCAGGGUUUUCAAACAUCAGGCUCCAGAUCCAGAUCCUCCCCAUGGUGUAACCCCCCAGAAUAGCUCUGAUUUAACUCUGUUACUAGGUGCACGUGUGUUUUGAAACAGUCAAGUUUGAAUAUGAUGUCAUUGUUGUGCUCUUAAUGCUCAGGGUACAUGGCAACGUUGCUCUGCUUGUGCAAAAAUAUAACAUGCGUCUCCUGCCUAGAAUACAUAAAAACACUCAGUUUUCAGGCACGCAACUACUGCUCUCUGUGUAAGCGCGGCAUAUGGUUCAAAUCAAAACCAAACAACUUUCAAGAUCACCCAAGUAUCACAUUACAACAGAGCAGAGUUUUUGUGCAUGUGUUUUCUUGAUUAAAACAAGUAGAGCUGGUGCAUAUUGAAACCAUGUGUUGGCUCUGUCCCCCGGUGUGUGUUCUAGGCUGCCGAAUACACUCCUGUUCCAGGAAAACAAAACACGCAUUAAUGACAUUUUAAUUAAACUGCAGGUCCUCUUCAAAGGGAUGUUAACCGCAGAAUAUUUCAAAGGAAGGCACACUAUAAUCUCACCGACCACCCCCGGUGUCCCCCUAUCAGUUCGAGGAGUGCAGCGGUGACCUGGUAUUAAAGCACAUGUACAAGUAGACGAAGUCUUUCAUUUGAAAUCAAUCCAUCAGAACCAAAAAGAUCAAAACUUUAAGUUGUAUCAAAAAUUAAAGGCUCAAAAUUACCACAAAGAGACACAAAAAAGACCACAGCAAGAAGAAGAUCCCUGUGUAAAUGAACAAAACCACAGUUAAGAUCGCAUGCAACAAUUAACUAGAGCGAAAAAACAAGAAAAUUACACAUGAUGACUACAGAAACAGAAAAUGCUCCCAAAACAACCAUGAAAUACGAUACAACCACAAAUUUAUGCGAACUACAAUGCAAUCCAGAACAGCAACAACAAAGGAACGCGACGCAAACAGAAAACCCCCCUAAAUUUGUCAGAUGGAGUGCACAUGUGAACGCUAACAGUCGGAAAUUUUGCCUCAGCUUUUUCCAGCCAGUUCCCAGUCAAGUUUCCAUGAGAAGUCAGGGUGUGCCAAUGUGAGAAAGCAGCAGGAAAUAUCAGGAAAAUUGAACACAAGUGAGUUGUUGAGGAUGAUGCAUAUGCAACUGGUGUGAGCCUGGACUAACAAGCCAUAAUAAGAUUGAUUUUUGACAAUUGAGUUCAAGCAAGGUGAAUUUCCAUUUGUCUGUUUGAACAUAGUAUUAAUAUAAACCCGUAAACUCAUUAAUAGGCGUCAAUAUGAAUUUCAGUCUAUUUCAUAAAUGUCAAAAAACUCUCAUAGGAGCUUUUUUUUGUGCUGGCAGCACCUGUUUUCUGGAAAAAAAAGGAAUGUAGUUAAUUAUUUUUUAGCACUCAGCGUCCUAAAAAGCUUUCUCUGUGCUCUCAGUCGCAGCACUCAUUAGUCUCACUUCUCUUUCAGCAGCCAAUCAAAUUCAAGGAGGGGCUGGAUUUCUAAUUUACAUUUUGUCAACGUUGAGUUCAAACCCGUAGCAUUCAUAUUUUCGAGGGUACCAUUUCCAUGUACGAGCUACAGCUAACACCAGGACAUGAUAUUUUCACAUUGAUUUAACACUGCCUUUGUAAAACUUUAUCCAAAAAAGUUCAUUUUAAGUAUUCAGAAGAAUCUAAAGUAAGCGUAAUGAUCAACAGUAAGGGCGGGUGUGAAGCACUGAGACUGAGGUUGGGAGCGUGGAGAACGCCACAUGUGGGCACAGGCCCUAAAGCUAUUCAGCAACAAAGAGGCUUCAAUGUGAGUUUUUUGGUCAUUCUCAAACAACCUUCUUUUCUUUGAGUCUGUGCCAACCCCAAACUUGCUGACAUCUGGUUGUUAAGCUUGAAUUUCAGAAGCAGAUCCCAGAAACACGGUUGGAGACAUUGAAACAAAAGUCGUUUUAAAUAAAGAGCUUGAUUGGAUUUGAUUGGAUUUGACAUUCAGAACACUUCAAAUAUUUCUCCUCCUAAUCUCUCCAUAACACUCCAACACUCCACACUCUCUUUUUAAGGAGCACACACUUCCAAGUAAAACCACACUGUUUCUUUGUGCUGCACUGCAGUUUUUCUCCUUUUCAAAAAUUUCACAAAUGUAUCUCGUAUUCCCAAAUGUCAACCAGAGAAAAUAGAAAACAGGUGGUAAGUGUGCAUGAGACAAAAUUACAUUCAAUCAGUGUGCACAGGGAGGGAGAUUUCUCUCUGCCUGCUGCCAACUUCUACAAAUAAAGAGAGGAAAAUCAAUUGGUUGUUUCAUGAUUGACCAAAUCCCCUCACCCGUGAGUCUAGAAAAUCCAAUGACCCGCUCGGCUGAUAUAUUGCUCCUCACCUGCAGAAUGAUAAUGCAAUCCUUUCACUAAUUGAAACAUGGCCAUUUCAAGUCCCUUCUCUGUCUGUGUGGCAAUUCACGCUUUUGUUUCUCUUUAGCGGUGGCUGCUAUGAACUCAUUUUUCUGAUGUUUUCGUUGGUUUUUCUACUCUGAGGACUCUUGAAACAUGAAACUUGAUUGAAAGGGUAAUAUUCAGUCGUGAUCUGCUUAUGUUUAAGCAGAACAUAUUGAAGGCUACAUUUUAAAGCUGCAGCUUACUGGAAUCACAUAAGAAACAGAUGUUCUUGCACAGUAUUGCAGAGCUCUUUAGCUACACUAGCAACGUGGCACUGGGGAUGGCUAUGUUGGCUGGCUGGUCCAACACUCUAAGAAGGAUCCGGCUUUGAUCGGAUUUUUUACCUUUAAAAUUUACAAAGACACUCAGGCGUGAAUCACAAUAAAUUUUUUGAGUUCAUAUCACAAUGAUGCAGCAAUAGUUGGAUCAAAUACUCCUUCAUUUGUUGACAAAAGCUUUUCCCUUGACCAGUACUUGCUAAAUUAGUCAAAUUCCUGCCAGCCUUGACUCACAGCAAAGAUCAGUGUGCUCACAAGUUGAAAGAGAUUUUAACAUUAGUGUCACCCCAACGUCAGGUCAAAAGCAAACAUUGUUUUUGCCUCUAAAUUUCAUGACAAAAAAUGUUAUUUUCUGUUGAUUAAAUGUCUUAAAAUGCUUGGGUCGUAAGAGGCUGCAUUGGUUCCAUGGUUUCACGCACGUACCUUUAUAGAGACACCGACCUUUAAAGAAAACCUUAAGACACUAAUUGUCUCCACACACCAAGCGUAAGUAAAAUCAUUUGCGCAAAUGAAUGACAUGUUAAGUCAAUGCAAAGACGCGAUAAGACGCUCCCACUACUACUGGCAGCAUGAAUGAUGCGAAUUGGGCGUGAGCUGAAAAUGUCUCAGCUUGAGCGGAUAUUUGUGUCAUGAUAACUAAUCGUCAGGAAUGUUGCCUUGUGACCUGAAUUAUAUGAUACCUUUUCUUUCAAUUACCAAAACCAGAAUAAAAAGAAGCUUGCCUGGAGGCAAAUGAGUGAGAAGGUUGGAUUACCUGAUAAUUUGAAAAAUACCUUUGUCUAUCAUUUGAUCCUGCUGGUUGAAUUGGCAGGGAUUACUGUUGAAAUUUCCGUUGACGCGCAAAUGAAGUGAGUAAAUACUAUUCAUUCGCGUAUCUAGAUCCGCACGGAUUAAGCGAGUAGAUGAUUUCACUCGGGUUUGGUGUGAGCGCCCCAUUAAAACCCAAUCCUAGCCUUGCCCCCAACAGUUAGUCAUAAGCCUCUAAUGUUCAUUUCCAGGGUUAGUGGUGUCCAAAUCCUUGUUUAGAUGGUGGUAUGGGGCAAAGUGUCAGGGCUAUAGAGAUUUGUCCAAAAUUCACUUAAAAUUGAGUGUUAUGAAGAUUCGCCUUGGAUGAUUUGCAAAUCAUCAGCAAGAAGAAAGUCACAAGUGUUUUUACUUCGUUUAUAAGAUUAGAAAAUUACGGAAACUCAUGUAUGAUCAUUUUUUUAAUUUCGUUUCAGUGUUUUAUCUAAUUUUUCAUGAGAUAAAUAGAAAACUCUGAUGCUUUAGUCGCUACCCAAACAUUACAGUCCUUCAUAUUGACAAAUUUCCGAGAGAAAUCUUCAGUAUCCCCUGUACUUGAAGGUUUAUGGCAACAGAAAUAAGAUUAAAGUAUUGAAGUAGAGCAGUGAAGUUGCCAUACAAUUCAUGUAGUGUGUUUAUGUAAUGUUGUCAAUGAGUAUUUAAUUACCUAACAGGGUCUGGAGGGGAUGACCCAUUUGAUUGGAUGAGGAUUACACCACUGUCCUUUAGAUCUUCAUCCCAAGAGGCAAAGUAGGGUAGAGGUGAAAAUGAGAAGUGGGGUUGAGUCUUCAACCUCACUUGUAUUCUUACAUUUGCUUUUCUGUGGCUGAGCUUGUUGACUCCGUCUGUGCACAUCUGGAAAACUUAAUGCUGCUGACUUUUCUUUCCAUCAUUGUACGAUUAAAACAUUGCUUUGUUAGAUUUAAUUAAAGCUGCACUCGUUGCAGGAAAGAUUACUCUUACCACAAGGCACAGUGAUUCAAUUUACAUAAUUUAAUGUGUAACUAGAAGUGAAAAAUAAGCAAAGAUUUAAAUAAAGUAAGAAUAAAUUGGACAUAAGAAUAGAAAAGUACAUCUGACUCAUCAAAGUCUGUGGCUCUCAGCUUCUGCACCGGUCAUAUCAUGAAACAGUGGCAUCAUCUCUGUUGUUUCUUUUGUAAGUUAGAGAUUUCAACUUGACAGGCUUGUCCUUCUAAAAUUCACACUCACAAAUCAACCAGAGGGAUUUAAUCAGAUAUUUUCAACCGCUGACCUUGGUCACAGAACGUAAAGGCAGCAGGAAAGCUGCAUGAAUACAAAACGUCUUGAGGAGCGAGAGGAGCAUACGCAGCAUCUGUGCAGAUUCCUCCUCAUCACUGAAUCUCUAUUUCUUUCAUUCUCUGUGAAGUCAGGGAAAUAAUUUUACAACAGCAGCUGAAACCUCAGCUCAGCCAUCCUUCAGUCUCACAGAUCAAACGUACUCACCAACAAUCCAGAGGAACCUCACUUAAAACACAUCUCUCAAACAUCUGUCAACGUUUUCAGGUGCUCCACUGCCCCUCUCCCUUCUCUCUCUCUCUUUUUCCCAAUGAGAACAUGUUUGAACACUGAAAGUCCCCCAGAGAGAGGCCGAUGCAGAAAAGAGGCAGAGGAGACAUUGAUCUGGUUGUGUAACAUGGUACUGUUUGCCGUAGGUCAAUGAAAUUCCAUCAGCUUCUUUCCUCUUUGGUCAAUACCCAUCUGAAGAGUCUCUACAGAUGUUGCCCUCCUCAAUCUCUCAGACACUUGUUUUCAUUCUCAGCGCUUAGAGAGGAAAGGAUUAGACUGCAACAGGAGGGGUUAAAGAAAGCUAAAAACACUUAGUGAAUAUCUUGUUCCCCACAAAUAAAACCUAGGGCACUGUGGCAUUUAGUGGUGAAGUAAUUGCUCAAUUGAGGUUUAAUUGAAAAGGUUGGAUAACAAAUUGGAAAAUCUUUCACACAGCCCCCUCCUCAACAUAUCUAUACUCCUUACCCCACCUGUGAGGUUGAGCCCAGCCACCCUUCAUGGAGAAAUCAUUUCAGCCUCAUGUCUCCCUGAUCUUUAAUCUUUUGGUCACAAUCAUUCACUGUAUAUAGUAUGGACAACG